rnacentral:rRNA from 1 species
ACUGCCGGUGUUAAGCCGGAGGAAGUGGGAUGACGUCAAGUCCUCAUGGCCUUUAUGUCUAGGGCUACACACGUGCUACAAUGGGUGGUACAAAGAGCAGCUAACUCGCGAGAGUAUGCAAAUACUCAAAAAGCCAUCCUCAGUUCGGAUUGGAGUCUGCAACUCGACUCCAUGAAGUUGGAAUCGCUAGUAAUCGCGGAUCAGCAUGCCGCGGUGAAUACGGUUCCCGGGCCUU